UUGGCCCUACGGGGGGCAGCAGUGAGGAAUAUUGGUCAAUGGCCGCAGGGCUGAACCAGCCAAGUCGCGUGAGGGAUGACGGUCCUAUGGAUUGUAAACCUCUUUUGUCAGGGAGCAAAGGGCGCCACGUGUGGCGUUUUGCGAGUACCUGAAGAAAAAGCAUCGGCUAACUCCGUGCCAGCAGCCGCGGUAAUACGGAGGAUGCGAGCGUUAUCCGGAUUUAUUGGGUUUAAAGGGUGCGUAGGCGGAAUGCCAAGUCAGCGGUAAAAUCGCGGGGCUCAACCUCGCUCCGCCGUUGAAACUGG
rnacentral:rRNA from 1 species